UAAUAUUGCUGAAAUCCACGUUGAAUGU
rnacentral:sRNA from 1 species